rnacentral:rRNA from 1 species
CGCUGGCGGCAGGCUUAACACAUGCAAGUCGAACGAUGACUCUCUAGCUUGCUAGAGAAGAUUAGUGGCGGACGGGUGAGUAACAUUUAGGAAUCUGCCUAGUAGUGGGGGAUAGCUCGGGGAAACUCGAAUUAAUACCGCAUACGACCUACGGGUGAAAGGGGGCGCAAGCUCUUGCUAUUAGAUGAGCCUAAAUCAGAUUAGCUAGUUGGUGGGGUAAAGGCCCACCAAGGCGACGAUCUGUAACUGGUCUGAGAGGAUGAUCAGUCACACCGGAACUGAGACACGGUCCGGACUCCUACGGGAGGCAGCAGUGGGGAAUAUUGGACAAUGGGGGCAACCCUGAUCCAGCCAUGCCGCGUGUGUGAAGAAGGCCUUUUGGUUGUAAAGCACUUUAAGCAGGGAGGAGAGGCUAAUGGUUAAUACCCAUUAGAUUAGACGUUACCUGCAGAAUAAGCACCGGCUAACUCUGUGCCAGCAGCCGCGGUAAUACAGAGGGUGCGAGCGUUAAUCGGAAUUACUGGGCGUAAAGCGAGUGUAGGUGGCUCAUUAAGUCACAUGUGAAAUCCCCGGGCUUAACCUGGGAACUGCAUGUGAUACUGGUGGUGCUAGAAUAUGUGAGAGGGAAGUAGAAUUCCAGGUGUAGCGGUGAAAUGCGUAGAGAUCUGGAGGAAUACCGAUGGCGAAGGCAGCUUCCUGGCAUAAUAUUGACACUGAGAUUCGAAAGCGUGGGUAGCAAACAGGAUUAGAUACCCUGGUAGUCCACGCCGUAAACGAUGUCUACUAGCCGUUGGGGUCCUUGAGACUUUAGUGGCGCAGUUAACGCGAUAAGUAGACCGCCUGGGGAGUACGGCCGCAAGGUUAAAACUCAAAUGAAUUGACGGGGGCCCGCACAAGCGGUGGAGCAUGUGGUUUAAUUCGAUGCAACGCGAAGAACCUUACCUGGUCUUGACAUAGUGAGAAUCCUGCAGAGAUGAGAGAGUGCCUUCGGGAACUCACAUACAGGUGCUGCAUGGCUGUCGUCAGCUCGUGUCGUGAGAUGUUGGGUUAAGUCCCGCAACGAG